rnacentral:rRNA from 1 species
UACGUAGGGGGCUAGCGUUGUCCGGAUUUAUUGGGCGUAAAGAGCUCGUAGGCGGCUCGGUAAGUCGGGUGUGAAACCUCCAGGCUCAACCUGGAGACGCCACCUGAUACUGCUGUGGCUAGAGUCCGGUAGAGGAGAGCGGAACUCUUGGUGGAGCGGUGAAAUGCGUAGAUAUCAAGAGGAACACCGGUGGCGAAGGCGGCUCUCUGGUCCAUGUCUGACGCUGAGGUGCGAAAGCCAGGGGAGCAAACGGG